GAAAUUUAAAUUAGCAUUCGAAUAGUCAUAACUUAACAAAAUAUUCAAGUGUUCACAAAUAUAUAAUAGAAAUAUUCAAGUAUUCAAAAUACAAAAACACAACAUAAUCAAGAUGAAUACAAAAAUACAACAUAAUCAAGAUGAUGGCAUCCUGCAAUUGCUGCUCCACGUCCAUAAAUCGUUGAGGAUCGACAAGAGGGCCCUGAAAGUAAGAUGUACUUAAGAAUUUGAGCAACAAAUAUAAUAAUUGAAUAAGUAAUUAAAACUUUACUACAUACUCCAAUCCGUCUAUAAGGAAUCGCUAACCAUGGGCGAGGCAGGUCGAGGAAAAUAGAAUCUACCCUGCCCAAGAAUGAACUAAUGACUAAAGUAAUGACUAAAAUGAACACAGAAUGAACGCAUACACAUGUCAUUAUCAUGAAAGAGUAAAGUAGUAAUAUUUUAAACAAACAUAAUCAUAGCAAACUGUUUCAGCUUACACAUGAUAGCAGCCUUGUACAGUUGUACUGCUUCUCUUCCAUUGCAUUUGAUAGCAGCCUUGUCAUAUGCCCUGAAACACAUUGGCAUAAAUUUUUUAUUAAGAGAUUACACCAGAUGAUCAAGCCAUCAAAGGCAAACACAGUUGCUGAUACUAAUGAAAACUAAUGUUGACCUUGCAACUUCUAUCUCACUAACAAACAAUCCAAGAUAGAUAUACUUGCACACAACCAUCAUCUAAAUAAUCACAAGUGGAGAGUUAAGAAAUUGGAACUCAUGUGAAGAAAUCCAAUAUUUUAACCUCAAUCAACUACAACUCCUUAACCCUCAAUAUUUUAACCUCGUUAAAACGAGUGAGGAAAUAGAAUGAAACUCAACAAUCACCACAUAGAAAAGUCAAGAUUAGCAUGUCAAUUCCAUUACAAAAGGCUACAACAGAAGCAAAAAUAAAUAAGAAAUUAGUGCUCGUCUUCAUCCAACUCAACCAAAAACAUCUACAACAAUUGCAGACAAUAUCAGAACCAAAGACCAAAGAAUUGCAACACAUAACAUAAAACCAAAAUAUAAUACUCAUGAGAUGCAGACACCACAUCAUAAUUCAUAUAUAUGCCCAAGCUUUGGCCGACAAUUUCUACAAUCUACUAAUUAUAGCAGCUACUGAAAUUAAAUUAAAAAAUCAAAAAAUUGAGGGUGAAAUUAAGUUUUGGAGUAAUUAAUUAACUGAAAUUAAAAAUAAAUAAAUUAAUACACACCUUUGAUUGGGAGACGGUGGUGGCUGACUGCAAAUCCUCGGCGGUGGCUUCAAAUCUAACCUCAAAUCNGUCCCU
rnacentral:lncRNA from 1 species